GUGAGGAAUAUUGGUCAAUGGGCGAGAGCCUGAACCAGCCAAGUCGCGUGAAGGAAGAAGGAUCUAUGGUUCGUAAACUUCUUUUGCAGGGGAAUAAAGUGCGGGACGUGUCCUGUUUUGUAUGUACCCUGAGAAUAAGGAUCGGCUAACUCCGUGCCAGCAGCCGCGGUAAUACGGAGGAUCCGAGCGUUAUCCGGAUUUAUUGGGUUUAAAGGGUGCGUAGGUGGUUUGAUAAGUCAGCGGUGAAAGUUUGCAGCUUAACUGUAAAAAUGCCGUUGAAACUGUCGGACUUGAGUGUAAAUGAGGUAGGCGGAAUGCGUGGUGUAGCGGUGAAAUGCAUAGCUAUCACGCAGAACUCCGAUUGCGAAGGCAGCUUACUAAGCUACAACUGACACUGAAGCACGAAAGCGUGGGGAUCAAACAGGAUUAGAUACCCGAGUAGUCC
rnacentral:rRNA from 1 species